UGUCAGCCUAGACUCAUUUAAAUAAAUUCCAUUCUGAGAACAUUGGAGCAGUUGGCUUUUUGAAUGGCUUCAGAUGUUACAAGAAUCCUGCUGGACAGUUUGCGAGACACUAAACAGCAUCUAGUGAAAAGGAGAGCCAAUUCUAAGAACAGACUGAAGCAACAGUGCCAGAAAGAAAUGGGCUAGUUAUUUUCCUGCUGGCAGAACCCAGAGGGAUUAUUUCACAUCACAAAGUGUAAGUAGAUUUGAUACGAUCUUCCUUGCGUUGCUCAUUCCUGCUUGGGUUCUAUGGAAGGCAUUUCCUCCUAUCUGCGCUCUUGGGAGCCAAUGAAUGAAUCAAUUAAAAUCUUUAUAUUUCUUGUGGGGAAACAUGUAGAAGAUCCUCAAUAGGUCCUCAGAGAGGCACGAGCUAUUUGUUCGUUUGUAUAUGAUGAGCAAUUGUUUUCUUUUGGUUUUUCUGCCAAGUGUUGUCCGGGACCACUGAGGGGAGAGCAAGAGGUAUGGCACUUUAGACCGAGGAUGCAUCUACAUUGUAGAAUUAAUGGAGUUUUAUACCACUUUAACUGCUAUGCCUCAAUGUUAUGAAAUCGUGGAGGUUGUAGUUUUACAAGGUUUAAGCUCCUCUGCCAAAGAGUGCUGGUGCCUCACCAAAC
rnacentral:lncRNA from 11 species